UACGUAGGGUGCAAGCGUUAAUCGGAAUUACUGGGCGUAAAGCGUGCGCAGGCGGUUUUGUAAGUCUGUCGUGAAAUCCCCGGGCUCAACCUGGGAAUGGCGAUGGAGACUGCAAGGCUAGAGUUUGGCAGAGGGGGGUAGAAUUCCACGUGUAGCAGUGAAAUGCGUAGAUAUGUGGAGGAACACCGAUGGCGAAGGCAGCCCCCUGGGUCAAAACUGACGCUCAUGCACGAAAGCGUGGGGGGCAAACAGG
rnacentral:rRNA from 1 species